CUUCAGUAAAGCUGUGUUUAGAGUAAUGAGCCCAGAUAUACUAGGAGCAGGAGCUUUCUCGGUGGAAAGAGGAGAGGGCCUCUGGGGGAAGGGAGGGCAGGGUGGGAUGCAGCUUAAAGAGCUCUAGGUGGAAAGAGGAGAGGGCCUCUGGGGGAAGGGAGGGCAGGUUGGGAUGGAGCUUAAAGAGCUCUGAGUGGAAAGAGGGGAGGGCCUCUGGGGGAAGGGAGGGCAGGUUGGGAUGGAACUGACAUACUUAUCUGGUAAUUAAUAUUUAAAUAAUACCAAAAGUAAUAUUGAAUGCAGCAGAUCUAAUGGCACAUACGAAAAUUUUGUAACAUACGAAAUUUUUGAUAGGUACAAAUAAAUCUAGGCAAACAAAUGAAGGCAAUAAAUAAUUCUAGGAAAAACAAUUAGGUUGUGCAAGAAAUGAAACAAAAUCAUGAUGUACUGCUCAGAUGAGCAGCCAACAGAAUGUAUAAAGUCACAGCAACGUCAGCAGGACCAUGCAUCUCAAAUGUGCGUAUGACCAUCUUAGGAAGAUGGAGAGGAGCAAGGAAGUAGACGUAAAGGUAAUGGAAUAAGAGAAUGAGAUCAAGACCCCAGUAAAUCAAGAAACAGCAAGCUGUGCAUACUAGUUACAGAUAGUGCGGUGACUAUCCAAAGAAACAUCUAGCUGCGCUGAAAGUGACUGGCUCUGCAACAUCAGACUUCAUCUUUGGGAGGGCUGGAAUAGGAAACUGUUGCUUUUCAUUAUACAUCUUAUAGGACUAUUUGAUUUUUAAUUAUAUACAUGCAUUACUUAAUAGAUAUAGCAAAAAAUGCAGGGAGGUAAAAUCCUAGGAACACGUUUUGAAAAACAGUUCUGGUAGAGUCUCGCUAUGACAAUGCAGCAGAAGCAUCUAGAAGCGUAUGGUAUGGUAAAGACAAGGUGCGGGGUGAGACCUUCAAGUCAAGUGAAACUACCCCACCUGACAAACAACCCUCUCUUCUUCUCAUCAGUGGGGGAUUAUGCUGGAUUUUUCUAUGCGUUUGUAGAUAAUGAAAUGAAUGUGCUUACUAGAACCCACAAAAAACCACACAUAAAAAUCCCCAGCAAUGUUAUAUGCACAGGUAUAUUUCUAGCUUUUUGCUGUACUCUUUCACAAUUCUGUGCCACUUGCAAGAUGUGAAAAGCUAGGACAUUAUGUAUUGAUAAAAAUGUCUGAGACAUGCAAAAUAGACCAAGAAAUAUUUUUAUUUGAAAAAGAUUUAGCCAGACAAGAAUAGAAGCUUCCAUUAUAAAAUGUUGAGUCAUGCAAAAUGGGUAAGGAUUGUACUUCGCCCCGGCAGGGGGUAUAUUUUAUAAGCAAAGAAUGUCAGAGAGCUAAGGCCACAAGCCAAGGGCCCGAAGACAGUUUUGAAAUCCUUUGUCUAGUGCUCUUUCCACAUCACCACAUUAAUCCCUGGGGUGGACAGGGACCUUGACCAUUUAAGCAUAAAAGAACAAAAAGACCACAAGGUCAUUUUUAUAAAGAUCAACCAUCAACCCCUGGGGUCAGGUCUCCAAUCUUUGCUCAAGCUUUAGAAGCCUUUCAGCUUUGUGGAGUUAUCAGGAAAGUCCAAAAAUUGAAAUUUGUGGUGACUAAUUCCACCCCCUACAAAUACUCAAUGCAGAGCAUAUUACUGUCAGCUCAGCUAAAAACUGCUCAAAGUAGAAGUGAUUAAAUUCUAAAGUAGAAAAAAAUUCACCUCUAAACACAGAAACACACUGGUACUUCCCCCGCACACCCGGAUAUUAUUAGCCAGCUUUUUGCCUGGGGAAAUGAAUCAUGAGAGAGAAAACCGUACAACCCCCAAGUCUGACCACACUGAGUAACUGGGGUAGACACAGAGGGGGGCAUCUGGGGCUCUCCCGAGGCCAAGGUUGGGACCCAGAAGAGAUGAAUUUCCCUGGGUGCACAGGGUGGGAGGGAGGUGGGGCUAGAAGAACUUGUUCUGGAGGGAUGAUCCCGAUGGCUCCCAGUGCAGAAGGCCAGGAAGAGCAGAGGAUGCUGCCAGGAGGACGGUGUUGGGGGACACAGGCAGCUCAGGCCUGGAUCAGGCAGUGACUGGUGUGUGUGUGUGUGUGGUAUGAAGAGAGAGGGAUGGAAAUCAUGACCAUAGAGUUUGAGUUGGGACCCCCGUCUUGAUCACUUGAGCAUCAGCAGCUCCAGGGAAGAACACAUUCUGAAGGAGGAACUCUCCAGCUAGGAUUUCGUCCUGUCCUAGAGGACACCAAGAGGUGGAGACCACCCCCACAACUAAACUGGAGGAUUACUAAGGCAAUGGGGACUGUCUAGGAAUAUUUUUGAGGUGGUAAAAGCACCCCAUGAUUGUGCUAAGUAACAAAAGACAGAACAAGCAGCCUUAAAACGUUCCACAUGAUACACUGGUAUUAGAAUAAUAAGAUCUUAAAGACCAUCCACUUGAAAACUGUAUUUGCUCUGGGUCAUAUGGGCAGAACCAUGGCAGACAAAGAACUAGAAGUUCCUCCUAACUCCCAACUCAAUGUCCUUUCCUUAAAGAAUAACUGUUCUUUAUUAUAAAUAGGCCAAGCUUUUAUUAUUUAGUAUUGAACUCAGGCUGAUAUUUUUAUUGAUGGAUAAAAAUUUGAAUUAUUUCUGU